rnacentral:rRNA from 1 species
AACGCUGGCGGCGUGCUUAACACAUGCAAGUUGAACGGUAUGACAUGGAAGCUUGCUGAAGUGUCAUAUAGUAGCGGACGGGUGAGUAAUGCAUGAGAAGCUGCCAUUGGGAGGGGGACAACAGUUGGAAACGGCUGCUAAUACCCCGUAUGCCGGAAGGUGAAAGGGAGCGAUCCGCCCGAUGAGGUGCUCAUGUCCUAUCAGCUGGUUGGUGGGGUAACGGCCUACCAAGGCGACGACGGGUAGCCGGCCUGAGAGGGUGAACGGCCACACUGGAACUGAGAUACGGUCCAGACUCCUACGGGAGGCAGCAGUGGGGAAUAUUGGGCAAAUGGGGGCAACCCUGACCCAGCGACGCCGCGUGGGGGAAGACGGCCUUCGGGUUGUAAACCUCUUUUGUACGGGAAGAAGGAAGUGACGGUACUGUACGAAUAAGUCCCGGCUAACUACGUGCCAGCAGCAGC